rnacentral:rRNA from 1 species
GACGUAGGGCGCGAGCGUUGUCCGGAUUUAUUGGGCGUAAAGAGCUCGUAGGCGGCUCGUUGCGUCGGCUGUGAAAACCCGCAGCUCAACUGUGGGCUUGCAGCUGAUACGGGCGGGCUGGGAUUCGGUAGGGGAGACUGGAAUUCCUGGUGUAGCGGUGAAAUGCGCAGAUAUCAGGAGGAACACCGAUGGCGAAGGCAGGUCUCUGGGCCACUACUGACGCUGAGAAGCGAAAGCGUGGGGAGCAAACAGG